CCUUAUAUUAAAAAGGGGUGCAAAUACAAGA
rnacentral:piRNA from 1 species